UGCCCAGGCUGGACUUGAAUUUGUGAUCCUCCUGCCUCAGCCUCCUAGAAUGCUGAGAUUACAGAACAAAUUCAUCAAACCCGGAGAGCCCAAAGCAACAGUCUUCAUGGUCUUGCCAGAACCUAGCCCUACAAGCAGCUUAUCCAUAAAAUAUGGAAGGACCCCAAGACUCCUGAUGCUCAAGGAAAAUUACCCAUAACACUCCUAGUCUACGUUAGUAAAUUGUGUCUCUCUUGCUACUUGGCAGACCCAAACCUUACCCACCUGUCAUCUCUGCAUCCUCUAUGAAUUCCUCUUUAAUUAUAGCUUUUCUUUCCAUGUCACAAUCCACAUUAAUUAUUUUAUUCUUUUCCUUGUGAUGUUAGAUACUAAUGUUAAUUCAGCUAGAUUGUAAAUUUUCUUAGGACAGAUUUCAUGUUUAACAAUCUUUAGAAAUAAUGAGUAAAAAGAAUAAGUAAUAAUAAUAUUUGUUGUCUAUUAUGUAUCAGGUACUAGACUCAAGAAUUAUAUCAACAAUGUUUGACUUUUAUUAUCAUCUUCACUUAACAGAGGUGAAACUGCCCAUGAUCACACAGCUAGUAAGUAAUAAAGCAAUAUACAAACACAGACAGCCUGAGUCCAAUACCCAAAUUCUAGGCAACUAAGCAGCACUGCUACAUCUCCUAGCCUUCAGUGUUUGGCAGUGUGCUCAGUACAUUGUAAAUCAGGUAAUUGUUUACCUUGGAUGAAAAUCUCCACUCUACAAAAUUGAAAGAAAAAGAAAUAGGUGGACUUAUGUUAGAAAAAGAACAGGAGAGAGAGAAAAUUCUAAACCUUAAGGACAAAACAAUGAUUGACUCAUAGUUGCAGUGGGAGAAAAGUAUUCAAGGACCAAGCACACAGAAUCCCACCUUCUGCAAAAUAUAUUUCCCUAUAAAAAUUUAAAUAAAAUUUUAAAAAUUAAUAGUG